GACGAACGCUGGCGGCGUGCCUAAUACAUGCAAGUAGGACGCACAGUCUAUACCGUAGCUUGCUACACCAUAGGCUGUGAGUUGCGAACGGGUGAGUAACGCGUAGGUAACCUGCCUAUUAGAGGGGGAUAACUGUUGGAAACGAUAGCUAAUACCGCAUAACAGUAUGUAACACAUGUUAGAUGCUUGAAAGAUGCAAUUGCAUCGCUAGUAGAUGGACCUGCGUUGUAUUAGCUAGUAGGUAGGGUAAUGGCCUACCUAGGCGACGAUACAUAGCCGACCUGGGAGGGUGAUCGGCCACACUGGGACUGAGACACGGCCUAGACUCCUACGGGAGGCAGCAGUAGGGAAUCUUCGGCAAUGGGGGGAACCCUGACCGAGCAACGCCGCGUGAGUGAAGAAGGUUUUCGGAUCGUAAAGCUCUGUUGUUAAGGAAGAACGAGUGUGAGAAUGGAAAGUUCAUACUGUGACGGUACUUAACCAGAAAGGGACGGCUGACUACGUG
rnacentral:rRNA from 1 species